GUUGUACACUGAGCUCUUGCUUCAUACUUCCAGAAAAAACAUGGACAAAAAUUCAAAUACAUUUUUCAAUGAAAUUUAAAAAAUCGCCAAGUAUGCUACAGUAAAUAUUAAAAUUUUAGAAACUUCAGGAGUUAUAUUUAAAAAGAUGGCAGUAACCGGUUUUUUUAUGGCAAUAAUAUUAAACACCCAAUUCAAAUUGUCAGUGGUACAGUUGCACUAAGAAAAAAAUUCCUGAAACAAUUGUUUAUAAAAAACCUAAUAAUUUUGUUUGAUUUAAAAUUGACUUAAAAUACAAUAAAUAUUUUCAUUGGUUAUGAAAAUAGUGAUUCACUAUAAAAUAAAUAUUAUGUAUAUAUCAGCUAUGAAAAUGACUAAUUUCUUGAUUUUUCAUAGCUGCCAAUAUUUAUACCAAUAUAUUAACCAGUUAGUUAGACUCUGUAGUCAAGGGAACAAGACCCUAUUUCAGUUCAAAAUCAAUCUGAUUGCAUCGCUCAUGAAUAAUUUUAGUGUCAGAGACCCAAGAAACUUAUAAUGGAUCAGGAAAAUCAACUCAAAUAUAUAACGAAGAAAAAUAUGAUUGGAAAUAAUAUUUUCAUUGGUUAUGAAAAUAGUGAUACACUAUAAAAUAAACAUUAUGUAUAUAUCGGCUAUGAAAAUGACUGAUUUCUUGAUUUUUCAUAGCUGCCAAUAUUUAUACCAAUAUAUUAACCAGUUAGUUAGACUCUGUGGUCAAGACCCUAUUUCAGUUCAAAAUCAAUCUGAUUUCAUCGCUCAUGAAUAAUUUUAGUGUCGGAGACCCAAGAACCUUAUAAUGGAUCAGGAAAAUCAACUCAAAUAUAUAACGAAGAAAGAUAUGAUUGGAAAUCAAUUCACGGCUAAUACAUUUUUUAUCUCUGUAUAAAAUUUACUCAGUUAAUGAUAAUGAGUUUGAAGACAAAGACAAAUAUUGCUAUCUUGACCAAAAGUCAUCAACUGUGAAUGGCUUUUUAAAGAAUAAGCUCUUAUAGAUUUUGCAGAAUAUAUGAAAGAAGGUAAGAAAAUGUUAUCAAAUUAUACUUAUAAAAAAUAUUUAUAUUUAUAUAUGUUUAAUAUUAAUAUAAUAUUUUCUAUCCAUGCCUGUGAAUUUUGUUUUAUAUUAGAAUAUAAAUAAAUCUUUGGUUUAGAUUGAAUGCAACAAAAGAGUAUAUAGGUUUUUUUUUUUUUUUGUGUGUUACUGUUAUCAUCAAACAACUUAGUUUAUAGUUAUGUUUUCUUUUGAAUUUGGCUUUAUUUUUAAAUGUAAAAUGUUUAAAUUAAUUUCAAUUUCACUUAAUGGUGGGAUGUGGAAUAGUACAUUUAGUACAUGAGUAGUGCAAUUAUAUUUUCACUCCUACACUGCUUCGGUGUGUGAUUUUCCUAAAUGGUAAAAAUGAAAAUUCAUCUAUGAACACAUAAAGCAUUGUAGUAGUAUUUCUGUUGGGAGAUUAUGAUGUAGUCAAUUUGAGAUAAUUUUCUUUUCAAUUUUUCCAUAGGAUUUCAAAUACAUUCUUGGGGUUACUUAUUCAAUGAACUGUAAGGCCAAAAUUAUCCUUCCAUAAGUCAUUUAAUAUUAUGAUCAGCAUAUUCUAGGUUUAAUGUUGUUAAUUCUUGUAGGAAAAGUCAGCUUGUUAAUUUUAUUUCAUUAAUUUAUUAUUAUUUUUGUUAAUAUGUUUUUUUUUAUUUUUUUGCAGUAAGAAAACUUAACACAAAACCUAGAAAUUUGCACGAGUUUGAUAUAUAUAGACAUACACAAAUAAAAUUAAGUUACAGUUAAGUUAUUAACUUGAUUAUAAAGUAAGAUUUUUUUUUUUUUAUUUGUUUCUUGUAGGAAUAAAAAGAAGUUUUCUUUUGUGGUUAUUUUUAUUAGUAUUAUUAGAUAACAUUUAUUACCUUUCAUAUAUUCUUCAUGAUCAAUAAGAGCUUAUUCUUUAAAAAGCCAUUUAAAGUUGAUGGUAUUUGGUCAAGAUAAUAAUAUUCCUCUUUGUCUUCAAAUUCAUCUUUAGUUGAGUAAAUUUUAUAUUAAAAUAAAACAUGUAUUAGCCAAUACAUUUUUUAUGCCAUGUAUAUGAUGUAAAUGAUUUCCAAUCAUGUUUUUCUUCAUUAUAUAUUUGAUUUGAUUAUCUGUGUUGUCCAUUGUUUCUUUGAUCUAUUACACUAAAAUUAUUCAUGAUCUAUGAAACCAGAUUGAUUUUGAUAUUGAUUUUGAUCUUGAUCUGAGAUACAGUCUUGUUCCCUUGAUCACACCAUCUAAAUAAAUGUUUAAUAUAUUGGUAUAAACUUAUAAGCAGUAUAUUUUUAUUGCUUAUUGGCAGCUAUGAAAAAUCAAGAAAAUAGUAAUUUUCAUAUCCAAUAUAUACAUAAUGUUAAUUUUAUAGUGUAUCACUAUUUUCAUAACCAAUGAUAAUAUUUAUUGUAUUUUAAGUCAAUUUUAAAUCACACAGAAUUAUCAGUUUUUUUAUAAAUAAUUGUUUUAGGAAUUUUUUUUCUUAGUGCAACUGUACCACUGUUACUGCCAUCUUUGUAAAUAUAAUUCCUGAAGUUUAUAAAGUUUUACUAUUUACUGUAGCAUACUUAUCGGUUUUUUUUUUUAAAAUUGAGCUGGGAGUUCAAUACUGGAUUUUGUUAUUUUUGUUUUAUAGUCUCGAGUCCUAUAUAAUUCCACAUGAUCUAGAAAAAAUUUGUUGUAAAUUUUAUCCAUCUUUUAAUUGUCACAGAAAAUUGGCAACAAAGUUAUCACUUGGUUGUGUUGAAGAUACAGGUGAUAUGUAAAUAGGAUUUUUUGAAAUAAUUAAAAAAUUAGAAUUCAUUAAACUUGUUCUUGUUUAUGAAUUUUGCAUAGACUUUCUACGAACUUUCUUUUAUUUUUAAUAUUUGAGGUCACAAAUUAGUACUUCCAUAGUUUUUUAAAUUGAGCUGGAUGUUCAUAAUUGAAUAUAUUUUCAUUGUUUAAAAAUAUUGAUAUUGCUAUUAAAAUAGUAAACAGCAUUUUCUCUGUCUUUUGUUCAUUGUGUCCACAAGCUACCAUAUCCCAAAACCAGUAGUUAUGUGUUUCGGAGAAAUAUACAAUUAACGGUUUUGGUGUAUGACAUAUGGAAUGUUCAUGGUUACACUGAAUAACAGUCAAGGAAAUGUUCCCCAUUACAUUUUUAAACAUUUUUCAAAUAUAUUACAAUAGAGCAAUGUCUCCAUUGUUUUUCAACUUAAUUUUUUUAAUCCAUUCAUUUUUUAUUGAUAAAUUUGUUGUUUUUGUAAUGUCUUAUUCAUUAAAAUAUCUUAAAAUAGUUUUAUUUUAUCCAUCAUUUACUUCUGUAAUCCAAUUUGGUGUAUAUUCACCCAUUCACUGAAUGCAUGAUUAUGUUAAGAUAAUUUAACUUUAAAUACAUUUUUUCUAUUUUUAUUUGUUUGUUCAACAUAAAUAAUAACGAAUGUUUAGUAAUAAGUUAUUUUAAUAGUUGUAAUAAGUUAUUAGUUUUGUAAUUGAAUUAAAGCAAUUAAAAUUUACAAUUCUAUGUACCUAUUGAUGUUAAAUGUUUGUACAUUCUAUUUUUUAUUGUUCUUAUAACAUGUUCAACUAUGCUUUAUACUACUGUAUUUACUGUCAUGUUUAAUACUAUAACUAUCUUGACUGUACCUAUAUUUAAAAUGCAUUAUUAGAUAAUCAAUAAAUUAUUAUUAUAUAUAUAUAAUAUUUAAAAUUAAUAAAAUGGUAUUAAUUAUUACUUGAGUAUAAUGAAACUAACAACAUCGCAAUAUGGUCUCUGGAAAUACAACUUGUGCUUUCAUCAAGGCACGUUUAUAAUCCAUUAUGAUAUUCAAAUGGUUAUAGGUUAAUGGAAGCAUGUUGCAUACCACUCUGAAAAACUCUACAAAUGUUUCUUCAGUUAAACCUAAUGGAACCCAGAACAAAAAGCAAGUGGAAAAAAAAGCAAUAAAUAUACAUUUAAAUAUUAUAAUAUAAAAAGUAAUAUUAUUGGUAGGAACUACAUAAUAUUAGUACCAUAUAAUAGGUACUUACACUAUAUUUCAAUACCAUCUACUAUAUUAUAUAUUCAAUAAUAAUGUUUUAAACGUUUUCACAAAAAUAAUUAUCAGAGCAAGUUAUUGAAAUCUUCAGUCCAUAAUCGAAAGUAUCAAAAAUGACUACUACUGUAGUGUAUAUAUAAAAUAUAUAAAAACAAACUUAAAAUAAACAUAGCUAUAGCAUAAUAUUGUUGAAAAAAUAAAUUAUCUA